GGCGCCGCUGGGCCGGUUGACGGUCGGCGGGCGGUUUUCCGGCCGUCUGCCGCCCCUGUGGCGGGCGCUGGCGCUGAUCCAGGCGGCGCUUC
rnacentral:tRNA from 1 species